rnacentral:rRNA from 1 species
AAAAGGUAAAUAAGGGCACUAAUAGUGGAUGCCUUGACAAUCAAUACCGAUGAAGGACGUAGAACUCUGCGAUAAGUCUUGGGGAGCUGAGAGCAAGCUUUGAUCCAGGAAU